rnacentral:rRNA from 1 species
GUGUUUAAAGCAGGCUAACGCUUGAAUACAUUAGCAUGGAAUAAUGAAAUAGGACGUUCGAUCUUAUUUGUUGGUUUCUUAGGAUUGACGUAAUGAUUAAUAGGGAUAGUUGGGGGCAUUAGUAUUCAAUUGUCAGAGGUGAAAUUCUUUGGAUUUAUUGAAGACUAACUACUGCGAAAAGCAUUUUGCCAAGGAUGUUUUCAUUAAUCAAGAACGAAAGUUAGGGGAUCGAAGACGAUCAGAUACCGUCGUAGUCUUAACCAUAAACUAUGCCGACUAGGGAUCGGAUGAUGUUAAUUUUUAAUGACUCAUUCGGCGCCUUACG